GGAGGUUCUUGGGUGAUGCAACCAAAAAUCAGGCGCCCUCCUCGCUGGUUCUGGGUGCAUCACCUGAGAACCACA
rfam:Myotis davidii contig61267, whole genome shotgun sequence.